rnacentral:rRNA from 1 species
AUGCGUAGGGUGCGAACGUUAUCCGGAUUUACUGGGCGUAAAGAGAUGCGUAGGUGUCUUUGUAAGUCUUCUGUCAAAGCCUGGGGCUCAACCCCAGAUCGGCAUGAGAAACUACAAGGAUUGAAUCAGAGAGAGGUGAACGGAAUUCCCGGUGGAGUGGUGGAAUACGUUGAUAUCGGGAGGAACACCAGAGGCGAAGGCGGUUCACUGGCUCUGUAUUGACACUGAGGCUCGAAAGCGUGGGGAGCAAAACGGAUUAGAUACCCGUGUAGUCCACGCCGUAAACGAUGGAUGUUAGCUGUUUGAUGUGACCUUUUUUUCUCUUCGGAGAUAUUUUGGAAGCGUUGAGUGGCGUAGCUAACGCGUUAAACAUCCCGCCUGGGGAGUACGGCCGCAAGGCUAAAACUCAAAUGAAUUGGCGGGGACCCGCACAAGUGGAGGAGCGCGUGGUUUAAUUCGAUGGUAAUCGUAGAACCUUACCAGGGUUUGACUUGCCAGUCGUAGCUUUUCGAAAGAUUAGCGUCAUUUAGUUGGACUGUGCACAGGUGCUGCAUGGCCGUCGUCAGCUCGUGUCGUGAGAUGUAGGGUUAAGUCCCGAAACGAGCGCAACCCCUAUCCUAUGUUACAAGUGUCUUAGGAGACUGCAGCGGUAAAACGUUGAGGAAGGAGGGGAUGACGUCUGGUCCGCAUGGCCCUUAUAUCCUGGGCGACACACGCGCUACAAUGGUCGGUACAACAGGCAGCCAAGCCGUAAGGCGGAGCUAAUCCUCUAAAACCGAUCUCAGUUCGAAUUGAGGUCUGAAACUCGACCUCAUGAAGUUGGAUUCGCUAGUAAUCGCAGAUCAGCCAUGCUGCGGUGAAUACGUUCUCGGGUGUUGCACACACCGCCCGUCAAGCCAUGGAAGUAGGUAAUACCCGAAGGUGUUCUGGUCUUUUGGAUCGGGAUGACGAAGGUAAUGCUUAUAACUGGGGUU